UGUAUCUGUGAUGAUAUUUUGGCUCCCUCUACUGAACGCAGUGAGGAGAACCGCCAUCGUUACCCAAAUAUGUCUGAGAUGCA